AAACACCACAAGACUUGACGUAGUCUUUGGAGUCUUGUUUGAUGUUGGAUCACCAGAAAUAGCAGUUGAUACUUUUCAGUGUCUUAGUGAUUCCUCCAUGACCUGCGGCUAGUGAAUCGUGGAAAAGGUUGAGAACGUCAGGUUGUAGAGGUGAGGGUACCAGAGGCCUUGUCUUGUAGACAGAGGAGCGUGUACAACUGGUGGCUCAACAUUCAUGUUUCGGAUUUGAUCUAGGAUUUGUGUUGCAAGGAAGUGCUGUGGUGACAGAAUAUUGUCUGAGAUGGAGGGACAGACUAUCUGCCUUUAGGUUCUUUGAGCUGGAUCGAUAAGUGAUCGGUAUAGGGAAACAAGAAAAGUAAAAAGUCCACUGGGCUUGGCGUGGUCAGAGGUGUUUGGCAGAGCAUAGAUAUUACAGGUUACGAUGAUCAAUGUAGACUGUGACCUGAAAAUAGGACCCCUCCAACAGAUGUCACCAUUCCUCCAAGGCACACUUAAUUGCUAGGAGUUCUCUCUCUCCCACAUCAUAGUUCUUUUCUGGGGAGUCAGUUUAUGGGAAUAGAAGGCUAGGGAUGGGGCCUGGUUGCCCGCCUGCUGCCUUUAGAC